UUAAAUUGAAGAGUUUGAUCAUGGCUCAGAUUGAACGCUGGCGGCAGGCCUAACACAUGCAAGUCGAGCGGUAGCACAGAGAGCUUGCUCUCGGGUGACGAGCGGCGGACGGGUGAGUAAUGUCUGGGAAACUGCCUGAUGGAGGGGGAUAACUACUGGAAACGGUAGCUAAUACCGCAUAACGUCGCAAGACCAAAGUGGGGGAC
rnacentral:rRNA from 1 species